UCCUGGCUGGCUCAGUUGCUAGAGCAUAUGACUCUUGAUCUUGGGGUUGUGAGUUCAAGCCCCACACUGGGUA
rfam:Canis lupus familiaris chromosome 3, whole genome shotgun sequence.